rnacentral:rRNA from 1 species
AGUGAACGCUGGCGGUAGGCCUAACACAUGCAAGUCGAACGGCAGCACAGUAAGAGCUUGCUCUUACGGGUGGCGUUUGGCGGACUGGUGAGGAAUACAUCGGAAUCUACUUUUUCGUGGGGGAUAACGUAUGGAAACUUACGCUAAUACCGCAUACGACCUACGGUUGAAAGCAGGGGAUCUUCGGACCUUGCGCGAUUGAAUGAGCCGAUGUCGGAUUAGCUAGUUGGCGGGGUAAAGGCCCACCAAGGCGACGAUCCGUAGCUGGUCUGAGAGGAUGAUCAGCCACACUGGAACUGAGACACGGUCCAGACUCCUACGGGAGGCAGCAGUGGGGAAUAUUGGACAAUGGGCGAAAGCCUGAUCCAGCAAUACCGCGUGGGUGAAGAAGGCCUUCGGGUUGUAAAGCCCUUUUGUUGGGAAAGAAAAGCAGCAGGUGAAUACCACGAGGUUCUGACGGUACCCAAAGAAUAAGCACCGGCUAACUUCGUG